rnacentral:rRNA from 1 species
AACGUAGGAGGCGAGCGUUAUCCGGAUUCACUGGGCGUAAAGCGUGCGUAGGCGGUCGGGUAAGUCGGAUGUGAAAGCCCCUGGCUCAACUGGGGGAGGUCAUUCGAUACUGCUCGGCUUGAGGAUGAGAGAGGAGAGCGGAAUUCCCGGUGUAGCGGUGGAAUGCGUAGAGAUCGGGAGGAACACCAGCGGCGAAAGCGGCUCUCUGGCUCAUAUCUGACGCUGAGUGCACGACAGCGUGGGGAGCAAACGGG